rnacentral:rRNA from 1 species
GUGGGGAAUCUUAGACAAUGGGCGCAAGCCUGAUCUAGCCAUGCCGCGUGAUCGAUGAAGGCCUUAGGGUUGUAAAGAUCUUUCAGUGGGGAAGAUAAUGACUGUACCCACAGAAGAAGCCCCGGCUAACUCCGUGCCAGCAGCCGCGGUAAUACGGAGGGGGCUAGCGUUGUUCGGAAUUACUGGGCGUAAAGCGCACGUAGGCGGAACAGAAAGUCAGAGGUGAAAUCCCAGGGCUCAACCUUGGAACUGCCUUUGAAACUCCUGUGCUUGAGUGCGAGAGAGGUGAGUGGAAUUCCGGGUGUAGAGGUGAAAUUCGUAGAUAUUCGGAGGAACACCAGUGGCGAAGGAGGCUCACUUGCUCGAUAAUUACGCUGAGGUGCGAAAGCGUGGGGAGCAAACAGGAUUAGAAACCCUAGUAGUCC